rnacentral:rRNA from 1 species
GAAGUGGUGAGUAAUGCUUCGGAAUCUGCCCAAUGGUGAGGAAUAACCAGCCGAAAGGUUGGCUAAUACCGCAUAAGCCCUACGGGGGAAAGCGGGGGAUCGUAAGAACUCGCGCCGAUGGAUGAGCCUGAAGCCAGGAUUAGCUAGUUGGUAGGGUAACCGGCCGUACCAAGGCGACGAUCCGUAGCUGGUCUGAGAGGACGACCAGCCACACUGGGACUGAGACACGGCCAAACUCCAUACGGGAGGCAGCAGUGGGGAAUAUUGGACAAUGGGGGAAACCCUGAUCCAGCGACGCCGCGUGUGUGAAGAAGGCCUGCGGGUUGUAAAGCAACUUUUAGUGGGGAUGAAAAGCUCAAGGGCUAAACACUCUGGGGUCUUGACUAACCACAGAAAAAAGGCACCGGGUUACUCUGUGCCAG